GACGAACGCUGGCGGCGUGCCUAAUACAUGCAAGUAGAACGCACAGUUUAUACCGUAGCUUGCUACACCAUAGACUGUGAGUUGCGAACGGGUGAGUAACGCGUAGGUAACCUGCCUGGUAGCGGGGGAUAACUAUUGGAAACGAUAGCUAAUACCGCAUAAUAUUAAUUAUUGCAUGAUAAUUAAUUGAAAGGUGCACUUGCACCACUACCAGAUGGACCUGCGUUGUAUUAGCUAGUAGGUGAGGUAACGGCUCACCUAGGCGACGAUACAUAGCCGACCUGGGAGGGUGAUCGGCCACACUGGGACUGAGACACGGCCCAGACUCCUACGGGAGGCAGCAGUAGGGAAUCUUCGGCAAUGGACGAAAGUCUGACCGAGCAACGCCGCGUGAGUGAAGAAGGUUUUCGGAUCGUAAAGCUCUGUUGUAAGAGAAGAACGGGUGUGAGAGUGGAAAGUUCACACUGUGACGGUAUCUUACCAGAAAGGGACGGCUAACUACGUG
rnacentral:rRNA from 1 species